CCCAAGAUUGUUGUUUCUUCCCUGCUCAAGACUGGCUGUGCAGGAAUAGAUGUGCACCCCAGCAGCAGGGUCAUGCCAACAGGGGGGAGUGGAUGAUCUCUUUUAAACCAAGACCCGGUGUCCUCUGCAGCAUUGCCAUUGUGCCUGAAGCAGGACCAAGCUGCUGACUACUUGACUGUGUGGCCUGCUCCUCCACCACGUGGCUCCUGGGAUUUAUCCAGCGCCCUUCACUGCGACUGCAUCGUGGACCGGGACAUCAGGCAGCCCCUUGGACACCGUCUCCUACAGAACUAUUCGCUACAGCAGCUGCUCAUCUGUGUCCAGCCAGGUAUUGCAGCACUCCUCUGCUUCCCAUAACUCCGGGGUUUAAGCACCCAGCG